rnacentral:lncRNA from 1 species
CCCCUUUUAGAGUUUCUUGCAAUUAAUUCAGACCUAUAAUUUUAUGUAUCUUGCUCAUUCAAUCAUGAGCUUUCUCUUAAUUUUUUCUCUUUAUAGCUGAAAUUUGCUAGAUACGUAACUAUCCUUUUCAGAUAGGUUGCAUGAUGCAGUUUGAUUUGCAGUGAAGUGCGUGUGGAGGGCUUGGAGACGCUUGACUACUUCGAUAAUUUGCAGCAGAGAGAAAGAUACACAGAGCAGGCAGAUGCAAUUACCUUUGAUAGUGAGGUAACAUUACUAUGUUAGGCUGUUCUCCAUAUUUAACAGAGGAAAAACACCUUCAUUUGAACUCAGGACCACCAGGUGCCAGAGGAUCUUCUCUUCCAUAAUUACUAUGUUAGGCUGUUCUCCGUAUUUAACAGAGGAAAAACACCUUCAUUUGAACUCAGGACCACCAGGUGCCAGAGGAUCUUCUCUUCCAUCAAUUCAGUAUGCUUGGUUUUUUGAAUUUUUCAUAAUUCAUCGAGAAGAGGAGUACUUGAUUUCUUCUUAUUAUUAUGUUGAUCUCGACCUUUUCUUUUUGUUAGAUUG